GGGUCGGUAGCUCAGCCUGGAACGAUCCUCAGCACAAUUGGUGCAAAGCACCGCGACCGAUAGGGAGCAACAAUCCCCAUCAACGCUGAUAAGGGUUGUAGGCAACUAGAGCACUUGACUUUUAAUCAAGUGGUCGCGAGUUCGAAUCUCGUCCGACCCA
rnacentral:tRNA from 1 species